UUUUGGCUGAUUAAAAGGGAGAAAAUAGUAAUUUCUAACUGAGAAUGUUAUUUCUAUUUUCAAACAGACAAAGUAUCAAGACCUGGAUCUCUGGACACAAAGGAGGGUUGAGAUGUGUGCUUCUUGGAAAGAGAGGUCAUGAGACAGAGCUUCUCCGGAAGGCUGUUCCAGAUCCACGGGGCCGUUAUUGUAAAGGCCCUUUGAGAAGAGGAGACAUAUUUGGACGAUGGAGUUUCCAACUUGAAAAACCAGCCCGUCUGAUAAGAGGAAAGUGUUGUGCGGUGAAAGCUGAGCUUUGUCUUCUGUCCUUUUGGAGCCACAAGGAAAGAAUGGGGACUCAGUUGCCUCAUGUUUACAGGAGCUUUCAGAUAUUGUAUUUUCAAUGUUUAAACUACAUUCCUUGCCAGAUACGAAAACACAGAUCCUCAGCGGGGGUGGCGUCUCCAUUUCAUACGACUUGUUUUGCAAUUUGCAAACAAACCCACCUUUAAUUUUGUAUGCUUUCCAUGCA